CACACACACACACACACACACACACACACUCGUGACCUGGAUAUUUAGGAAAAUAAGUAAGGUAAGGAUGGGAAAGCCACAUUAGUGGCAGUCCCUGCACUGUGGGAAUUCUUUCUAAGACUAUUGUUAUGAAUCAUAAUUAAUUGUGCUUAGUAGCAACAGUAGGGACACAUGCUUAAUCUUCCAAUGGGAAAAGCAGAUGUAACAUACCUACAGACACUCUGUGGGCCUAAGUCCACAAAGACAGAAAACAGCUCAGAAAAGAGAUACCAAAAUUUUUUUGAGGCAAAAUAAUGAACCCAACCAAUUGCAGAAAUGGUAGCAUGGUAAGUUAUUUUGCGUGCUUUUUCAUUUGUCUUUGUGAUGGGCAGGAAGCCUUCUGACCCGUGACUCUGGAGGGUUGACUCGGGACAGCUUUCUCCCCUAUGGUGGCACUGAGCUGCCUGAUACUACUUUAGUGAGCACAGAACAGCAGCAUCAUGGUUGUCCCCUCCAUGGCCUACAGAAACACUUCACUUUGUUCCUGGAGGCCUCUCAGGCUUGCUAGCUGCAGUGUGGUGAGCAGCCCUGGAAGGGAGCCCAGGAGGUAAGAACCCAUGGUACAGCCAGUGGGAAACUGAAGCCCCAGUUUAUGGCCUACAAUGAUCCAAAUCCUACCAAUGAUGGGGUGUGGGAUAGGGGGUUGCUGUCUGCACCCUACCCUGGUCUCCACUGCAGAUGAACCUGCAGCCACACACAGGCGCUUGGAUGGUCUUCUGCACUGUUAAAUCUUGGGAUUUUUAUUGCUCAGGACUGGAGCACACCACUUCUGUCACAGGAUUGUUAAUCCAGAAGGAACCUAAAGCACUACCUAGGUAGGGGAAGGUGAGGCGCUGUCAUUUCACUCGCACAUGAAGCUGUGUCAUUCAAAACCCACCUUAAUGUUGAGUGUGAUCUUAGAAGUUUCCCAGUCCAAUUCUCCACAUAGCUACCCCCACUCCCUCAUCCCCAAUUAAUUGUUUGGAGGUUAAAAAGAAGCCCACCUGCUCUCCAGAACAAUGUGAGAGAAGGAGAGACAGGAGUAAGACAACCUAACCUCUACCUCAUUGGCCAACAUGGAAAAGUCAUUCGGGCUUGGCCAACUUCACUUUCCCCUUUGCUAAAGCCAAGAUAAUCUGUGUGAACAUGUGAACUAAAGCAGCCUAAAGGGUGUUGAUGGGGUCUCUUGACAUCUCAAAUAUUUGAAAAAGCGCAAUCAAUAACAUAGCAAAUGAUUGUGUUCAAAGAUAAUAUGAAAGCACAGGACAGAUACAAGGAGUGGUGGGCUCCCUUCACUAGAGCCGUCACCUGCACUAGGAACUGCCAGGGCUUCAUUCUAUAAAUCAAUAAGGAGGAGGAGUUGGUUGCUAGAUUGUAGAGUGUGGGUGGUUUUCUGUUUUGAUUGACAGGCUUAGGUCAUAUAAGCCUUAGUUUAUUCCACAUGUCCUUUCCCUUAGUCUGACGUUAAUCAAAUGCGCGUCCAAUCAUGCCUAGGACUAAGAUUGCAAAUAGAGAAUUUCCACCUGC
rnacentral:lncRNA from 1 species